UACGGAGGGGGCUAGCGUUGUUCGGAAUUACUGGGCGUAAAGCGCACGUAGGCGGCUUUGUAAGUUAGAGGUGAAAGCCUGGAGCUCAACUCCAGAAUUGCCUUUAAGACUGCAUCGCUUGAAUCGCGGAGAGGUGAGUGGAAUUCCGAGUGUAGAGGUGAAAAUUCGUAGAUAUUCGGAAGAACACCAGUGGCGAAGGCGGCUCACUGGACGCGUAUUGACGCUGAGACGCGAAAGCGUGGGGAGCGAACAGG
rnacentral:rRNA from 1 species